rnacentral:rRNA from 1 species
AUUGAACGCUGGCGGCAGGCUUAACACAUGCAAGUCGAGCGGAGUGAUGGUGCUUGCACUAUCACUUAGCGGCGGACGGGUGAGUAAUGCUUAGGAAUCUGCCUAUUAGUGGGGGACAACAUCUCGAAAGGGAUGCUAAUACCGCAUACGUCCUACGGGAGAAAGCAGGGGAUCACCUGUGACCUUGCGCUAAUAGAUGAGCCUAAGUCGGAUUAGCUAGUUGGUGGGGUAAAGGCCUACCAAGGCGACGAUCUGUAGCGGGUCUGAGAGGAUGAUCCGCCACACUGGGACUGAGACACGGCCCAGACUCAUACGGGAGGCAGCAGUGGGGAAUAUUGGACAAUGGGGGGAACCCUGAUCCAGCCAUGCCGCGUGUGUGAAGAAGGCCUUAUGGUUGUAAAGCACUUUAAGCGAGGAGGAGGCUCUUUUGGUUAAUACCCAAGAUGAGUGGACGUUACUCGCAGAAUAAGCACCGGCUAACUCUGUGCCAGCCGCCGCCGUAA